GAUCAACGCUGGCGGCGUGCAUGAGACAUGCAAGUCGAACGGACACUCACGGGCUUGCCUGUGAGUGUUAGUGGCGGACGGCUGAGUAACGCGUAGGUGACCUGCCCCGAAGUGGGGAAUAACUGCCCGAAAGGGUGGCUAAUACCGCAUGUGGUGAUGCGUUCAGACGCAUCAGUAAAGCCGCAAGGCGCUUCGGGAGGGGCCUGCGUCCGAUUAGCUCGNGGUGAGGUAAUGGCUCACCAAGGCGACGAUCGGUAGCUGGUCUGAGAGGACGAUCAGCCACACUGGGACUGAGACACGGCCCAGACUCCUACGGGAGGCAGCAGUGGGGAAUAUUGGACAAUGGGGGCAACCCUGAUCCAGCCAUGCCGCGUGAGUGAUGAAGGCCUCGGUUGUAAG
rnacentral:rRNA from 1 species